UAUAGAAAUUUGUGUUAUUACGUUUUCAACCCCCCGGUCGGAAAUCUCAAGCUUCGCCACUGCCUCCAUCUUCACCUAAUCACAACAAACAACUAGACACCCAAACCCUAAAUUUAGCGCGGGAAAUCAUCAAUUCAGAAUCCCACCCCAUCAAUACAGAUGAAUUGGAGGAAGAAGAAGAAGAAGAAAGGAGUGAGGGAGAGGGUGAAUUAGGGUUUGAAAAGCUCACAAGAGCUCAGAGAAAAAGGCUUCGAAAGAAGAAGCUAAAAGAAGCUGCUUCUCACAGGAGACAGAUUAUCGGGCCGCAGUUGAAUCCGGAUCAUACGUGUGGUGAUCGAAUCGAUAGUGAAGGUAGUAGCGUUCGUGAAGAUGAAGAUAAACAUGAACAUGAACAUGAACGUCUGGAGGGUGUUCGACGAAAUGCCGCAGAGAAACCUUAGAGUGUUAUUGUCAUAUUGUAAUGCAAAAUUACAGAUUAAUUCAUUAGUGAUUAUUAUAGAUACUGGAAAGAAUUAGUAUUGUAUUGUUAUUAUUUGGUAUUUGAUUUGGAGAAGGAAAAUGAUUGAUCA